AUAGUACUCCCUCCGUUCCAAAAUACUUGACUUCCAUUUGACUAAAAUUGGAUGUACCUAUAUACUAAAACAUGUCUAGAUACAUCUAUAUUUUGACAAAUGGAAGUCAUGUAUUGUGGAACGGAGGGAGUAGUUC
rfam:Triticum aestivum genome assembly, contig: Triticum_aestivum_CS42_TGACv1_scaffold_249158_3DL